rnacentral:lncRNA from 1 species
UCCAAUAAUGGGCACAUACAGCUUCUCUUUUAGCUGACAGCACCUUCCUUUGUCCAGCAGGAGGAGAAACUCAAAUUGCUAUUGCUAUCCUAGACUCAGAAGCCAAGAACAAAACAUCAGCUUCCAUAAAUGCAGAAGGAAUAUGAACAUCACAGAGGGUAUUUGGAGCAAUUGUUCUUCCUAUGACUGUCUCAUGUGAAAAACUGCUGAAAGGAGAGAGGAGGUAAAAAGCAAAGUGCCUGAGCAAAUCAAGUAGUAAACAAGCAUUCUCUGCAAGCAAGUAUGCUCCUUGACAACAAGUACUGCUUAUGCCAAGCCGAAGAACUGGCUUAUAAUAUUCCAAGCAGGACAGAGCCUCCCCAGGAGCAGAGCAGGAGAAGAUCCAGACAAGAUUCCAGCCAGUUCCAGAUGAUGCCAUAA